rnacentral:rRNA from 1 species
AACGAACGCUGGCGGCAUGCCUAACACAUGCAAGUCGAACGAGAUCUUCGGGUCUAGUGGCGCACGGGUGCGUAACGCGUGGGAAUCUGCCCUUUGGUUCGGAAUAACAGUUGGAAACGACUGCUAAUACCGGAUGAUGACGAAAGUCCAAAGAUUUAUCGCCAGAGGAUGAGCCCGCGUAGGAUUAGCUAGCUGGUGUGGUAAAGUCGCACCAAGGCGACGAUCCUUAGCUGGUCUGAGAGGAUGAUCUGCCACACUGGGACUGAGACACGGCCCAGACCCCUACGUGAGGCAGCAGUGGGGAAUAUUGGACAAUGGGCGAAAGCCUGAUCCAGCAAUGCCGCGUGAGUGAUGAAGGCCUUAGGGUUGUAAAGCUCUUUUACCCGGGAUGAUAAUGACAGUACCGGGAGAAUAAGCUCCGGCUAACUCCGUGCCAGCCGCCGCCGUAA